GACGAACGCUGGCGGCGUGCUUAACACAUGCAAGUCGAACGGAAAGGCCCUGCUUUUGUGGGGUGCUCGAGUGGCGAACGGGUGAGUAACACGUGAGUAACCUGCCCUUGACUUUGGGAUAACUUCAGGAAACUGGGGCUAAUACCGGAUAGGAGCUCCUGCUGCAUGGUGGGGGUUGGAAAGUUUCGGCGGUUGGGGAUGGACUCGCGGCUUAUCAGCUUGUUGGUGGGGUAGUGGCUUACCAAGGCUUUGACGGGUAGCCGGCCUGAGAGGGUGACCGGCCAUUGGGACUGAGAUACGGCCCAGACUCCUACGGGAGGCAGCAGUGGGGAAUAUUGCACAAUGGGCGGAAGCCUGAUGCAGCAACGCCGCGUGCGGGAUGACGGCCUUCGGGUUGUAAACCGCUUUCGCCUGUGACGAAGCGUGAGUGACGGUAAUGGGUAAAGAAGCACCGGCUAACUACGUG
rnacentral:rRNA from 1 species